rnacentral:rRNA from 1 species
UAGUGCCUACGGGACGCAGCAGUAGGGAAUCUUCCACAAUGGGCGAAAGCCUGAUGGAGCAACGCCGCGUGGGUGAAGAAGGUGUUCGGAUCGUAAAGCCCUGUUGUUAGAGAAGAAAGUGCGUGAGAGUAACUGUUCACGUUUCGACGGUAUCUAACCAGAAAGCCACGGAUAACUACGUGCCAGCAGCCGCGGUAAUACGUAGGUGGCAAGCGUUAUCCGGAUUUAUUGGGCGUAAAGAGAACGCAGGCGGACUUUU